UACGUAGGGUGCAAGCGUUUGUCCGGAAUUAUUGGGCGUAAAGAGCUCGUAGGCGGUUUGUCGCGUCUGCUGUGAAGUCCCGAGGCUCAACCUCGGGCCUGCAGUGGGUACGGGCAGACUAGAGUGCGGUAGGGGAGAAUGGAACUCCUGGUGUAGCGGUGGAAUGCGCAGAUAUCAGGAAGAACACCGAUGGCGAAGGCAGUUCUCUGGGCCGUAACUGACACUGAGGAGCGAAAGCGUGGGG
rnacentral:rRNA from 1 species